GUCACAUUGUUUAGAUUUUUUUUAGGGCAAGUCGUUUUGGAGUUAUUGCCGUUUAUCUCUGAAUGUGUCACGAAUAUCGAAAACAAAACUAACUUAACCCCGCUGGUUUUACCAAAUGUGACAGA